UUGUAUUUGUCUGCAAAGCAACAACAGGAUCAAUAAAUAAUAUGAUCAUCACAUAUUACAUACAAUUCAAAAUGAUGAGAAUUGUAAGUCUUCGGCUAUAAAUCAUGCACUGCAAUAGAAGAUUUAAUCCUCAAGUUGAACAACAUUAUGGAAAUAAGAUAUAUACAUGAAAGAACCCACAGCAAGUAAACUAAGUAACCAAUUGUAUUAUACUACAACUAAAAACUGAUACAAGUAACACCAUG
rnacentral:misc_RNA from 1 species